GGAAGGGUGGCCGAGCGGUUUAAGGCGCAGACCUGGAGAGUCUGUGUCCGAUUAUUCGUCGGACCGAGGGUUCGAAUCCCUCCCCUUCCG
rnacentral:tRNA from 1 species